GCAAGUCGAACGAACUCUGGUAUUGAUUGGUGCUUGCAUCAUGAUUUACAUUUGAGUGAGUGGCGAACUGGUGAGUAACACGUGGGAAACCUGCCCAGAAGCGGGGGAUAACACCUGGAAACAGAUGCUAAUACCGCAUAACAACUUGGACCGCAUGGUCCGAGUUUGAAAGAUGGCUUCGGCUAUCACUUUUGGAUGGUCCCGCGGCGUAUUAGCUAGAUGGUGAGGUAACGGCUCACCAUGGCAAUGAUACGUAGCCGACCUGAGAGGGUAAUCGGCCACAUUGGGACUGAGACACGGCCCAAACUCCUACGGGAGGCAGCAGUAGGGAAUCUUCCACAAUGGACGAAAGUCUGAUGGAGCAACGCCGCGUGAGUGAAGAAGGGUUUCGGCUCGUAAAACUCUGUUGUUAAAGAAGAACAUAUCUGAGAGUAACUGUUCAGGUAUUGACGGUAUUUAACCAGAAAGCCACGGCUAACUACGUGCCAGCAGCCGCGGUAAUACGUAGGUGGCAAGCGUUGUCCGGAUUUAUUGGGCGUAAAGCGAGCGCAGGCGGUUUUUUAAGUCUGAUGUGAAAGCCUUCGGCUCAACCGAAGAAGUGCAUCGGAAACUGGGAAACUUGAGUGCAGAAGAGGACAGUGGAACUCCAUGUGUAGCGGUGAAAUGCGUAGAUAUAUGGAAGAACACCAGUGGCGAAGGCGGCUGUCUGGUCUGUAACUGACGCUGAGGCUCGAAAGUAUGGGUAGCAAACAGGAUUAGAUACCCUGGUAGUCCAUACCGUAAACGAUGAAUGCUAAGUGUUGGAGGGUUUCCGCCCUUCAGUGCUGCAGCUAACGCAUUAAGCAUUCCGCCUGGGGAGUACGGCCGCAAGGCUGAAACUCAAAGGAAUUGACGGGGGCCCGCACAAGCGGUGGAGCAUGUGGUUUAAUUCGAAGCUACGCGAAGAACCUUACCAGGUCUUGACAUACUAUGCAAAUCUAAGAGAUUAGACGUUCCCUUCGGGGACAUGGAUACAGGUGGUGCAUGGUUGUCGUCAGCUCGUGUCGUGAGAUGUUGGGUUAAGUCCCGCAACGAGCGCAACCCUUAUUAUCAGUUGCCAGCAUUAAGUUGGGCACUCUGGUGAGACUGCCGGUGACAAACCGGAGGAAGGUGGGGAUGACGUCAAAUCAUCAUGCCCCUUAUGACCUGGGCUACACACGUGCUACAAUGGAUGGUACAACGAGUUGCGAACUCGCGAGAGUAAGCUAAUCUCUUAAAGCCAUUCUCAGUUCGGAUUGUAGGCUGCAACUCGCCUACAUGAAGUCGGAAUCGCUAGUAAUCGCGGAUCAGCAUGCCGCGGUGAAUACGUUCCCGGGCCUUGUACACACCGCCCGUCACACCAUGAGAGUUUGUAACACCCAAAGUCGGUGGGGUAA
rnacentral:rRNA from 2 species